GUGGGGAAUCUUGCGCAAUGGGCGAAAGCCUGACGCAGCCAUGCCGCGUGAAUGAUGAAGGUCUUAGGAUUGUAAAAUUCUUUCACCGGGGACGAUAAUGACGGUACCCGGAGAAGAAGCUCCGGCUAACUUCGUGCCAGCAGCCGCGGUAAUACGAAGGGGGCUAGCGUUGCUCGGAAUUACUGGGCGUAAAGUGCGCGUAGGCGGACAGCUUAGUCAGAGGUGAAAGCCCAGGGCUCAACCUUGGAAUUGCCUUUGAUACUGGCUGUCUUGAGUUUGGGAGAGGUGAUUGGAACUCCGAGUGUAGAGGUGAAAUUCGUAGAUAUUCGGAAGAACACCAGUGGCGAAGGCGACUCACUGGCCCAAUACUGACGCUGAGGCGCGAAAGCGUGGGGAGCAAACAGGAUUAGAUCCCCCUGUAGUCC
rnacentral:rRNA from 1 species